GGGGGAAUCCGUUAAUUGGCAAACGACCGGUCUCCAAAACCGGCCCUGGGGGUUCAAAUCCCUCUUCCCCCG
rnacentral:tRNA from 4 species